AUUGAACGCUGGCGGCAGGCCUAACACAUGCAAGUCGAGCGGGGUUUUCGGACCUAGCGGCGGACGGGUGAGUAAUGCGUAGGAAGCUACCCGAUAGAGGGGGAUACCAGUUGGAAACGACUGUUAAUACCGCAUAAUGUCUACGGACCAAAGUGUGGGACCUUCGGGCCACAUGCUAUCGGAUGCGCCUACGUGGGAUUAGCUAGUUGGUGAGGUAAUGGCUCACCAAGGCGACGAUCUCUAGCUGGUUUGAGAGGAUGAUCAGCCACACUGGAACUGAGACACGGUCCAGACUCCUACGGGAGGCAGCAGUGGGGAAUAUUGGACAAUGGGCGCGAAGCCUGAUCCAGCCAUGCGCGUGCAGGAUGACGGUCCUAUGGAUUGUAAACUGCUUUGUACA
rnacentral:rRNA from 1 species